rnacentral:rRNA from 1 species
GUGCCAGCCGCCGCGGUAAUACAGAGGGUGCAAACGUUGCUCGGAAUUAUUGGGCGUAAAGCGUACGUAGGCGGCUUGGUAAGUCGGUAGUGAAAGCCCUCGGCUUAACCGAGGAAGUGCUAUCGAAACUGCCUGGCUUGAAUACCGGAGAGGAUCGCGGAAUUCCCGGUGUAGAGGUGAAAUUCGUAGAUAUCGGGAGGAACACCAGUGGCGAAGGCGGCGAUCUGGACGGAUAUUGACGCUGAUGUACGAAAGCGUGGGGAGCAAACAGGAUUAGAAACCCUCGUAGUCC